UUAUCCACUGAUAGUGAGUAAAUAUUGUGACCAUGUUGCAUUUGGCUAUUAUGCAGAUAUGGGAAAAAUCACGGCCCACAGGUGGGUGGUUUAGAAACUCCACAUCUGACUCUCCAGGUGCGAUGGGAACAAUGACUGUAAGGCUGUGUUGGAAGAGGUUAAUGGUGCUCCUCCCGAGCCAGGACACGCCGCCGUGGAUGCGGGCGAUGGCGACCUGAAUGUUGUUUAAAUCA